UACUAUACUGCUCUAUUCAUAUUAAAAAAUCUCAGGCCGACAACGAUACGAUCGAGACUUCUUCUGGAAAAAAUAACACCAUCGAUACUCAUCCUGGAUAAUAUAAUACCUUUGAGACUUAUUCUGGACAUGAUUUUGUUGUUUGUUUACAAGAUAUGCACUUGUUGGUAAACACGUUUCAGUGAACUUUGAAGAAGCGCUACCGCUCGAGUAGCCAAUAUUGAGUAUUCUCGUUUAGGGAGACGGUCUGGGAAAACCCACCUAACAUAUAGGGGAUUUUCUUUUCACGUUGCCUUGUAGCCAGGAAAAACCUGUGAGUUGUGCAUUGGUAGAUUCAGAGGAAUACAAAUACGGAGAGGUCAUAAAAGCAAGGAAGUGAACAUCGCUUGGAAGAUAUGGCAGAUUCAGGAGAACAGCCUAGUCAUUUCACGUCUCUAAGAUCAGAUGAUAGGCCCGUGACCCAAACCAAUCCAACAAACCCUGCUUCAACAGAAGAUAUGGCAGGUUCAGGAGAACAUCCUAGGGGUUACCGUUCUCUAAGAUCAGAUGGAGGGCCUACCCAAACCAAUCCAACAAUUAAACCUGCUUUAAAAGUAGUUCGAACUGAGUUUACAGAUAUCGAAUGUCUAGACCUAGCCAAUCUGAUCUGUCCAGAUAACGACUUCCAGAGACUUGGCCAUUACUUGGGAUUUAAUGCUCCUGCAUUAAGUAGAUACAGAAGAGAAAACACUGGAGGAGGUUGCCAUGGUGUUUAUAAGAUGCUGAUAGAUUGGAAGAAGAGAUUCUUGGAUCAUGAACAAAGGGAAAAUUUAGCAAAUGCAUUGGUUAACGCUGGACUGAAAUCUUUGUCUUUCCAGGUACG